UACGUAGGGGCCGAGCGUUGUCCGGAAUUACUGGGCGUAAAGCGCGCGUAGGCGGAUUUGCAAGUCGGGGGUGAAAGCCCGAGGCUCAACCUCGGAACUGCCCUCGAUACUGCAAAUCUCGAGUCCGAGAGAGGUGAGUGGAAUUCCUAGUGUAGAGGUGAAAUUCGUAGAUAUUGGGAAGAACACCGGUGGCGAAGGCGGCCAACUGGACCACAACUGACGCUGAGGCGCGAAAGCGUGGGGAGCAAACAGG
rnacentral:rRNA from 1 species